AUGUCUGGUGCCUCGCGAAGGAUGCUCUUCCCCCGGGGCUGUCGAGGCGGACCCCCGCAGACAGCUCCGCGCGCCGAGACCCGCGCCCGGCUGCAGGGGGAGGGGAUCCGGGCGCCCCCUCCCGCCUCCGCGCCCCGCCCGCCACCCGCCGCCCGCCGCCCGCCGCCUCACCUAUCAGAUUUCCCGUGCGCCUCGCCGCGCCCCUCCUCCCGCCUCCUCAAUGCCGAGCGGAGGGGCAGCCGCCCUCGGCCUGGACCCGGCGCCGGCGACGACCGGCCGCGCGCCUCCCCGUGUCGCCGCGAUGCGGCUGUGAGCUCACUGCGGCUGCAGCCCGCCGGGCCGGGGGGGCGCGGGGAGCGCGGGCAGCGCGGGGCGCACGGCAGCGAGAGAUGUCUGAGUCUGUGUCUGAAGAGGCCAGAGGAGAGGAUGGCCGAGAUGACUUAUGGAGAUCUUGGCAACCCACAUGGCCUUCAGUGGAAAUCCAGGAUCAGGAGAUUUGGGUGUCAGGUAAUGAGACUCAUUUUGAAAACAAAUCAACCAGAAUUUUCACCAGAAGUUAUUUGGGACCGAAUUCAGAAAAUAAAGUAGCUGAUCAUCCAUUUACUUAUUCAGUAAAUACUCAUGUAGAGAUGAAGAGCUUGGGCUCCGAAGCCUGAUGCCCAGGUUCACGGUCCCAGCUCUGCCAACCACUUGUUGUGUGACCCUGGGCAUGUUCCUUAAUUUCUCUGUGCCUCAGUUUCCUCCAUUGAAAUCCGAGCUAAUAGUGCUUAUUUCAUAGUUGGGAGAGGUAGGAGGAUUAAAUGGCUCUAUAUGGAUAAAGCUUUAGAACAGUGCCAGGAUGUAAUUAAGAGCUACACAAGCAGCCAUUAUAUUUUACUGUUAUUGUUAUUUGCUCAUUUUGUGCUGAGCACUUUACCAUGAUGAAUAAGAUUGUUUUGGGUCAAGAAUGAGGCAUGAAGAUAAAGCAACAAAAUUAGUUUUCUUUUAUUGAAUUAAAAAAAAAAUAAACCUUGGUUUUAAAGAGAAUUGCCA
rnacentral:lncRNA from 12 species